AUUGAACGCUGGCGGCAGGCCUAACACAUGCAAGUCGAGCGAGCGGCGGACGGGUGAGUAAUGUCUGGGAAACAGCCUGAUGGCGGGGGAUAACUACUGGAAACGGUAGCUAAUACCGCAUACCAUCAGAUGUGCCCAGAUGGGAUUAGCUAGUAGGUGGGGUAAUGGCUCACCUAGGCGACGAUCCCUAGCUGGGCUGCGAGGAUGACCAGCCACACGGGAACUGCGACACGGUCCAGAAGCCUACGGGAGGCAGCAGUGGGGAAUAUUGCACAAUGGGCGCAAUCCUGAUGCAGCCAUGCCGCGUGUAUGAAGAAGGCCUUCGGGUUGUAAAGUACUUUCAGCGGGGAGGCGUUACCCGCAGAAGAAGCACCGGCUAACUCCGUGCCAGCAGCCGCGGUAAUUC
rnacentral:rRNA from 1 species